AUCUGACUGGUGUUUGUUUGUGUCUGAUGUUGUGAUGGUCCAGGACUCUCCGUGAUGACCGAGAGCUCUACAUUCACCCUGAUUCAGUGCUGUAUGGAGAAAAGCCCCCGAAAUGGGUGGUCUUCAACGAGGUGGUUCAGACCAGUAAGUACUACAUGCGUGACGUGACGGCGGUGGAGUCGUCCUGGCUGGUGGAGCUGGCCCCGCACUUCUACAGACAGGCCAAGCACGGGUCUCUGAGCAGCAAACGGGCCAAAGUCUUCUGAGCGGAGCUGCUCUCACACUUCAGGUCUCUGCUCAACAGCUGAACAUAGACGCUCCUCUCAAACUAACACGGCGAAGGAGGGAACACUGUGCUAUUUUGUACAUACAGGUGUAUAUGAUACAUUCAUGCGCUCACGGUCAUCUUUCUAUUAUUUAAUAGCCAUUGGAAUAACUUGACUGUGAUUUGUUGAGUGUUUGAGAGCGAGAGAACGACAGCUUUACAACAUCGCACGAAGCCCUACCCUCAACAAUAACCAGAAUAAUACUAUUAUAAGCUACUUUUCACCAGUUAUUUCGAACCCUCGUCGGAGAAAUACUGUGUAGCUCAAACGUAGUGGCCUUGUAACCAUUAUGUGCCAAAUAUUAUAAAUCCGUAGAACAUUUCCUGAUGUAUAUGAAAUGUGACAUGAAUUGUAGUUACACUGUCAGCAUGAGACAAAAAAAGUGCCAUUUUUUUAAUCUAAUAUAUAUAUAUAUAUAGGUCCCCAUUAAGUAGCCUUGUAAUGCACCUCUGGCCUAAAAACUGUGGUGUUAGGUGUAAUAAUUAAUUCAUAGUGUAGUGUCUCAUUUAGGAAAGAUCAGCCAUGACUUGUUCAGUGUGGUGAGUGAAGAGCACAGCCAACGAGAGCCUCAGGGAGGAGCUUCUUUCUUAUUAAAGUUAACGGGGUGCUAACUCUGGACAUGGCAACCCUUCUCAGGCCACGCCUCUUCUGGGCGUGGCCUUUCAUAGGAAGCUGAGGUGCCAAUCAUGUGGGUGGAGGCGGAGCCUCUGUCAUAAAGGGAUGUUUUGACAAUGUUUGUGAUGUUUUAGUUUUACUGUGACCUGUUGGAUUUUUCGAUCCCUGUAUAGUUUAUUAUAUCCAAAAAACAAAAAACUAAAAAAAACUACACUCAAGGUUACUUGUGUAACAUUAUUACCAAAUGUCUUGAAGACAAUCCCUGUGGUUGUAGAGUAUAUGUAGUGUAGUUAGCUGCUGACAGAGUCCUAUUGAUAGCAGUUUAAACGUUCUUGCAUGUCUUUAAACGAUUCCCAUCUCACGUAGUUCACAGCAGUGCAGGAAAUCACACUGAGCUCAAUGUUCCUCCGACUCUGUCCAGAUGUGCUGCUCCACAGCCUGAUGUUCACUGUAACACAUGUGCCCAGUCUGUACUCAUCUCUGUUUUACCCAGAAUAAAGAAGGAAACUGUG